AUUAAAAGACGAGAAGACCCUAUAGAUCUUUAUUUUUAUUUAGAUAAAAAUUAAAAAGAAUUAUUAAAUUUUUAUCUAAAUAAAAAUUUUACUGGGGUGGUAUUAAAAUUUAAUUAACUUUUAUAAAAAAAAUUACAUUAAUUUAUGAAUAUUUGAUCCAAUUAUAUUGAUUAAAAAAUUAAGUUACCUUAGGGAUAACAGCGUAAUUUUUUUUUAAAGUUCUUAUCGACAAAA
rnacentral:rRNA from 1 species